rnacentral:misc_RNA from 1 species
GAUGAAGAACGUAGCGAAAUGCGAUAAGUAAUGUGAAUUGCAGAAUUCAGUGAAUCAUCGAAUCUUUGAACGCACAUUGCGCCCGCCAGUAUUCUGGCGGACAUGCCUGUUCGAGCGUCAUUUCAACCAUCAAGCCCCGGGCUUGUGUUGGGGACCUGCGGCUGCCGCAGGCCCUGAAAUGCAGUGGCGGGCUCGCUGUCACUCCGAGCGUAGUAGUUACAUCUCGCUCUGGGCGUGCUGCGGGUUCCGGCCGUUAAAAGCCUUAUUUACCCAAGGUUGACCUCGGAUCAGGUAGGAAGACCCGCUGAACUUAAGCAUAUCAAUAAGCGGAGGA